rnacentral:lncRNA from 1 species
UCAAAUUAACGGUGGUCCGAGGUCCGCGACCUUCCACUUUUGCAAGCGGACCUUCGUUUUGGUUACUAGCUACGCCCGACGGACCUUCGAUUUGAAAGAAAAUAAAAAAAUAACUUCGCAGACCUUUUUAUCAAAAUUUCCAAAUAAACGAUCUCAAAAUAAAUUCUCAUCUUUAUUAUUCAUGACAGCAAUAUUCAUUUUAUCCAACCGCUAAUUUUAUACCGAAAAUCGUUAAAAAGUAAUUUGUAAAUCCGAGUGAAAUCGUAUCUGACUGACAACAUCAACAUAGAAAAACAAUGGAUGCCAUAUAUAAACCGGAAAUGAAGAUAAUUACAAUACCGGAUCAGUUUCCGGGACGGAUAAGGUAAUUCCGGGUUUGCCGAUCAAAUACAAUAAAAAAAAAUAAUGUCAGGCUUGAAGUUGUGACAAAAUACAUCUAAGAUUAUGAAAUAUAAUCACUAGAAUUGAAAACCAAAAGAUAUAUGGAAAAGAAAGAAAGACCAGAAAAUAUUUUAGGUUGAAACUCAAAAUUACUUAAUAAGUUUUUUAGUUGACAAAUUUCCAUGUCAACAUCCAAUACAAUGUGACAGCAUUUUUCUUUUAUCAUUAAUACAUGUGGAUAUGACAUGCAGAUGUUUUUAAAGUGUAAACAAAUUACUGCAAUUCCAAGGGGUAAUUUCUCCUCAAUUUUUAGGGGCCUGUAAAUAGCUGAAGUUUCGUACUUUAUUAUCAAAAAUAGUGCAACUAGAUAUGAUACAAUGUAACAAAGUAACAAGCUCUAGUGGACUUUUAAAAUCGAGUUGAAGUAGUGUGAGCCCUGAGGUAAUGAUAUGAUACAAUGUAACAAAGUAACAAGCUCUAGUGGACUUUUAAAAUCGAGUUGAAGUAGUGUGAGCCCUGAGGUAAUGAUAUAAUUAGUAAUUAAUUACUAAUCUUGGUUACAACACACCUACCAACAGUGACACCCUACCAAAUAAAAAAAAAAUAAAGAUAAUAUGAAUUCAUAAUAUACAAGACAAUUAUAUUUAUUAGUUUAUUGAACAUAUUAUACAACAGUGACACUGACAAUGUAACAAGAUAACCUAACACCAAAGGCACAAUAAUUUUGUAUCUUACUGUGUUAUAAAAUAUUUCAAGUAAAAGUAGGACCUGCAAUUUAGGUUGUGGACCUUUCAGUUUUGAGUGUCAAAGGUCCUGGACCUUCCAGUACCAAAUGUUAAUUUGAACCCG